rnacentral:lncRNA from 1 species
AGAGAAUUGUGGAGCAGGGGCUCUGAGGAAUUGGACCUCACACUUGUGAGGAUGGGGUGCUGCCCAGCUGGUGCCAGUAACUCAGGAGCUCAGAAGGUGGGUCUUCCAAGGUAGAGCGCUGCCAAUGAGGGUGGUUCCAGGAGUGCCAUAAGAAAGCUGGCACAAGACCCAGUGCUUCCAGCAUUAAGGGUCAUUGCUGGGGCUGCGCUGAUGGGAACAACAAAUGGAACAAAAGCAUGUCCCAUUCUUCUCUUUCUGCCGUCCCAUCCUCAUCUAUUGCUUCAAUCAGCAGAAUCUGCAGGAAGCCAGCAGGUAGAUGAGAAAUGUAGUUUGCAGAGUGCCACAGCCUCAGUAAGCAGGGUCAAGAAGGG